UACGUAGGGGGCAAGCGUUGUCCGGAUUUAUUGGGCGUAAAGAGCGUGUAGGCGGCCACACAGGUCCGCUGUGAAAACUCGAGGCUCAACCUCGAGCUGUCGGUGGAAACCGUGUGGCUAGAGUCCGGAAGAGGAGAGUGGAAUUCCCGGUGUAGCGGUGAAAUGCGCAGAUAUCGGGAAGAACACCCGUGGCGAAGGCGGCUCUCUGGGACGGUACUGACGCUGAGUCGCGAAAGCGUGGGGAGCGAACAGG
rnacentral:rRNA from 1 species